rnacentral:misc_RNA from 2 species
AAUUCUCAACCUUGCAAGCUUUUUUGCUAGCGAGGCUUGGAUGUGAGGGCUUUUGCUGGCUUCCUUUAGUUGGAUGGUCUGCUCCCUUUAAAUUCAUUAGUGGAUUCCUUUGUGGAUGGUCACUUGGUGUGAUAAUUAUCUACGCCGCCUGACUCUGAUACAAAACUUGUGGGGACCUGCUCAUAACCGUCUCUUCGAGACAAUCUAUAUUGACA